rnacentral:rRNA from 1 species
AUACGGAGGGGGCUAGCGUUGUUGGGAAUUUCUGGGCGUAAAGCGCGCGUAGGCGGAUUGAUCAGUCAGGGGUGAAAUCCCGAGGCUUAACCUCGGAACUGCCUUUGAUACUGUCAAUCUUGAGUUCGAGAGAGGUGAGUGGAAUUCCUAGUGUAGAGGUGAAAUUCGUAGAUAUUAGGAAGAACACCAGUGGCGAAGGCGGCUCACUGGCUCGAUACUGACGCUGAGGUGCGAAAGCGUGGGGAGCAAACAGGAUUAGAAACCCCAGUAGUCC